AUACGGAGGGUGCAAGCGUUACUCGGAAUCACUGGGCGUAAGGCGCGCGCAGGCGGCUUGAUAAGUUGGAUGUGAAAGCCUACGGCUCAACCGUAGAACUGCAUCCAAAACUGUCAGGCUAGAGUGUGGGAGAGGAAGAUGGAAUUAGUUGUGUAGGGGUAAAAUCCGUAGAGAUAACUAGGAAUACCAAAAGCGAAGGCAAUCUUCUGGAACACUACUGACGCUGGGGCGCGAAGGCGUGGGGAGCAAACAGGAUUAGAAACCCGAGUAGUCC
rnacentral:rRNA from 1 species